GAUAACUAUGUAAUCUUCUGUAUAUACAUGCUGCUAAAAUGCCAUGGUUUUGGUUGCAAAUCUUCCAUAAAAAACUAGAAAAGCUUUUAAUAUAGGCAUCCACUAUUGUGUUAGUAAUUCUUAGAGAAAGGAGAAAGUGAUGUGAGCAAUGGUGGUGUCCUAUCAGUUUGCUUAGGCUGUCUUGUCCUUCUUCUCUUCCAGGCUUUGAACAAGUGUUUGACGGGAAGGAACUGUGCUGAUCUUCACCUGCUUGGGCAGUGGUAACACAGAAUCUGGGUGGGAAUAAGUCCUCAUCCCUGCUGGUAUUCAAACUUACCCAUAGUACUUCUCUGUCUCGGGAGCUUAGGAGAAAAUAAGAGUGAAAGAGAUUUACUGGUCCACAGAGUCUCAUCUACUGUAUUCACAGCCAGGCUGUGCUGUGACCUACUGAGUUUAUAAUUGGGGACAAACCGAAAUAGCACCAUCAGAGACUGCAGCAAUGAUCUCAUUAAAAAGUCAACAUUUGCUAAUAGAGAAAAACUGAUGUUGAAAAUGCCUUUAGGUGGAAAUUCCUAACAAAUCUGGCUCUCUGUAAUGAUCACUUACAUACCUAUUAAGGC
rnacentral:lncRNA from 1 species